UGUUCGUCGGUUUUAAUUUAUUUUAUUUUAUUAAUUAGUUUUUGAAAAAGCGACGGACGACAUCUCUUAGUCCGUCACUUUUUGGUCAAAAUAUUUAGUCAAACAUUUAAAAAAAGCGACGGACACCAUCUCUUAGUCCGUUGCUUUUUAGUCAAAAUUUUGAUUAAAUAUUUUUAAAAAGCGAAGGACAAAGAGAUGAUGUCGGUCGCUUUUUAAAAAUUAUGUUGAACCAAAAGGGGGUUUCCCCCAUUUUCCCAACUCUCUUUCUCUCUCUUCUCUCUAAAACCAAAUUUGUUGUGCCGCCGCUGCCCCACCCUACGCCAUCGUCGCUCUUCUCUCCUUGAGCAUUAGUUCCAUCGUACCCUUUCCCCGUUGGCGUCACCACCCGUCGUCCCCACUGCCUCUUUUCCUUAACUUGUUAAGAUGAGUAACAGAAUUUGGCAGUUUCUGUGUCAAACAAAUAUUAGAAAAAAGCAACGAACAAAAUGAUUUUGUCCAUCAUUUUUUUUGGAUUUUAUUUUUAAAAAAAAUUCAGAAAAGCAACGAACAAGUUCCUUUAGUCCGUCGCUGUUUUAAUUUUAUUUAUUUUUAAAACCCAAAAAAGUGAUGUACAUGGUUCUUUAGUUCGUCGCUUUUUUAAAGUUUUCACAUUUUUAUUUUCAAAAAAGUGACGGAUAGUGUCUCAUUGUCCGUCGCUUUUCAAGAUUUUAAAUCGACGGAUUUCAUCUCUCUUUUUAAUUUAAAAAUAAAAUAAAAUAAAAUAAGUGAUAGACGACGUCACAUUCUUCAAAAAAAAUAUUUUAAAAAAAUAAAAUAUGACGCAGUCCGUCGCUUUUGAAAAAGCAUCGAGCCAAGAAACAAAGAGAUUAACUGUGUCGCUUUUCCGUCUCUUUUUCCCCCCAGUAUUUUAGUAGUGAAUGUCGAAGGAGAAACAAGGCCUAAUGUUUUAAAUGUAAGAAGUCUAUGGCAAUAACUAGUCUAAGCCUAUACUAGGUCGAAGCUCAAUUAUACAAUCACAACAACUUACAAGUCAAAACAUAAGAUAAGGAUAGACUCAUAGCCCCCAACUAGCUAGUAUAGUUAUAAUCCUGAAAUAAUAUCGAUCAAGCCUAAAACAUGGUUUUUAUGAAAGAAAACCAACCAGGUACUCUCCCUCAUUUGACUCUAAUCAACAUAUGUUCACACAUUCAACCUCAAUCUAGGAUAAAGAAAGUUGUAGCCUACCUUAAGGCUGACAGCAUAUGCUCCAAAUCACAUAUCUGGAGUUUUUUCUUUACGAACAACCUCAGAAUGUUGCCCCGCUAUUGAAAAUAGGAUUACAAUGUUAAUACACUCCUUUAGACACUAAACCACAUAAAAUAGAGACAUAACACUUUUUAAAUCAAACAGGAACCAUGGCACCAAUGCCGAAACUUCUGGGAUCGACUAAGUUAAAAAGUCUUAAAUAGUACCCCCAAACUUGUGUUCCAAAUGGAACACAAUUCGGGGCUCGAAACAACAAGAACAAACAACAUACGACAAUUUCACCAUUAAAGAUAACAACUAAGAUAAGGUAGCCUACAAUUGAACGAAUUUACCUGAAACGAGAGAUGCCACACACUUUCAAUCACACCACUGCAUAGACCCAAGCUCAAAAAGACACCAGACUUUGAAUUGUUGCAAUCAAAUCUCUAAAGAGGGAUGGAUCGCUAAAACUUAAGUGACCACUUAUCUCUCUUAAGUGAUUGGCCUGCAAGAGGCGGUUUAUUCCAUAAGCCCCUGGUCGCUAAAGUGAGCCUUGCUUAAGCAACACUAGGGUCACAAAAAGGGUAUGGUUUGGCCUGCUAAGCUCGUUUAAGUGAUACCCUAGUCGUAAAGUGAUGCUCGUUUAAGCGAUGAGAGAGAUGCUAAAGCGACUUCCAUUUAAGUGGCCUAGCUUGCUAAAGCGGAGCCUUGGCUACUAAAGCAAAAUCGCUUAAACGAGGCAGGGUCGAAAAAGUAAGCACCAACAUCAAGUACCAAUAAAAUCAGCUAAGUUUUGUUUAAAACCCCAUGCACACAAAAGAGAUAUGCCACCUAAUCAUAUUUGACAUUUCUAGACUCAAGGGAGAAGUCAAAACUUCCAUUCGAUGUUGUCUUGACAAAAAGUGAAUCUCACACCCAAACUCCAAUUUAAGCCAAAAUUCACAAGGGGGCUCAGAAUUAGCUUAGGAGCCUCAAGAUCAGCACGGAGGGUCCUCAGACUCUUUCUAGGUGUAUGGUGUACUUUUUUUAUUUUCCUGCAUGGUUUGUAAUUGAUCUUUUUUAUUCUUCACAAUGUGUACAAGAUUUGUGGAGGUUUUCAUUUGAAUAGAGAAGAAGAACAACGAAGUGGUUGAAAGAGAAAUAGUUAGGCCCGUGGGGAGAAACAGAAACGUGGGUAUGUGGGAGUGGGAUGAAGAUCAGUUAAAAAACUCUCCCGAAAGGUGUAAUUGAUACUUAUCAAUUGAUUCUCUCUCAUUAAUGUUAUUUCUUUCACCUA